rnacentral:rRNA from 2 species
UACGGAGGGUGCGAGCGUUAUCCGGAAUUACUGGGUUUAAAGGGUGCGUAGGCGGCCAUGUAAGUCAGGAGUGAAAGUUUGCGGCUCAACCGUAAAAUUGCUUUUGAUACUGCAUGGCUGGAAUCAGGAUGAGGUCAGCGGAAUGUGGCAUGUAGCGGUGAAAUGCAUAGAUAUGCCAUAGAACACCAAUUGCGAAGGCAGCUGGCUAGACCUGUAUUGACGCUGAGGCACGAAAGCGUGGGGAGCGAACAGG